GACGAACGCUGGCGGCGUGCCUAAUACAUGCAAGUCGAACGCUGAAGGAGGAGCUUGCUUCUCUGGAUGAGUUGCGAACGGGUGAGUAACGCGUAGGUAACCUGCCUGGUAGCGGGGGAUAACUAUUGGAAACGAUAGCUAAUACCGCAUAAGAGUAGAUGUUGCAUGACAUUUGCUUAAAAGGUGCAAUUGCAUCACUACCAGAUGGACCUGCGUUGUAUUAGCUAGUUGGUGGGGUAACGGCUUACCAAGGCGACGAUACAUAGCCGACCUGAGAGGGUGAUCGGCCACACUGGGACUGAGACACGGCCCAGACUCCUACGGGAGGCAGCAGUAGGGAAUCUUCGGCAAUGGACGGAAGUCUGACCGAGCAACGCCGCGGGAGUGAAGAAGGGUUUCGGAUCGUAAAGCUCUGUUGUAAGAGAAGAACGAGUGUGAGAGUGGAAAGUUCACACUGUGACGGUAGCUUACCAGAAAGGGACGGCUAACUACGUG
rnacentral:rRNA from 1 species